rnacentral:rRNA from 1 species
GAUGAACGCUGGCGGCGUGCCUAAUACAUGCAAGUCGAGCGAACGGACGAGAAGCUUGCUGCUCUGAUGUUAGCGGCGGACGGGUGAGUAACACGUGGAUAACCUACCUAUAAGACUGGGAGAACUUCGGGAAACCGGUGCUAAUACCGGAGAAUAUUUUGAACCGCAUGGUUGAAAAGUGAAAGACGGUCUUGCUGUCACUUAGAGAUGGAUCCGCGCUGCAUUAGCUAGUUGGUAAGGUAACGGCUUACCAAGGCAACGAUGCCUAGCCGACCUGAGAGGGUGAUCGGCCACACUGGAACUGAGACACGGUCCAGCCUCCUACGGGAGGCAGCAGUAGGGAAUCUUACGCAAAGGGCGGCAGCCUGACGGAGCAGCGCCGCGUGAGUGAUGAAGGUCUUCGGAUCGUAAAACUCUGUUAUUAGGGAAGAACAUAUGUGUAAGUAACUGUGCACAUCUUGACGGUACCUAAUCAGAAAGCCACGGCUAACUACGUG